rfam:Dysgonomonas mossii DSM 22836 genomic scaffold supercont1.2, whole genome shotgun sequence.
AAGAGCAAAAAGAAAGUAUAAUGAAUCUUCUAUUAACAAAUACAUAUUGGUGGUGGCACUCUCAACUCAAAAAGUCGUGAGCCAAAUCGGUGUGUAUUUACAAAUAGAAAAUUUUUAAAAUACAAAGCCUAUC